rnacentral:rRNA from 1 species
UACAGAGGGGGCAAGCGUUAUUCGGAAUUAUUGGGCGUAAAGGGCGCGUAGGCGGCAUGGCAAGUGGAAGGUGAAAUCCCUCGGCUUAACUGAGGAACUGCUCUCCAAACUGCUUUGCUUGAGGCCGGGAGAGGUGAGUGGAAUUCCCAGUGUAGCGGUGAAAUGCGUAGAUAUUGGGAGGAACACCAGUGGCGAAGGCGGCUCACUGGACCGGUUCUGACGCUGAUGCGCGAAAGCGUGGGGAGCAAACGGG